rnacentral:misc_RNA from 1 species
AAGUCGUAACAAGGUCUCCGUAGGUGAACCUGCGGGGACGGAUACAAUACGAAGGCAUGCGGGCCCUCGGCCCGUCCCCAACCCUUUGUUGACCAAAACCUUUUUGCCUCGGGGGCAGAGCGUCCGCCGCCGCCCCCGGAGGACCACCGAACGCUGUCUCUUUACGUCGGAGUAUUGAUUGAAUAAAUGAAAA